rnacentral:rRNA from 1 species
UACGAAGGGGGCUAGCGUUGUUCGGAAUUACUGGGCGUAAAGGGCGCGUAUGCGGUCCUGAUCGUCGGAUGUGAAAGGCCUGGGCUCAACCUGGGAACUGCAUCCGAUACGGCGGGACUGGAGUGUGGGAGAGGUUGGUGGAAUUCCCAGUGUAGAGGUGAAAUUCGUAGAUAUUGGGAAGAACACCGGUGGCGAAGGCGGCCAACUGGACCACAACUGACGCUGAGGCGCGAAAGCGUGGGGAGCAAACAGG